GAAACGGUGGCUAAUACCGCAUAACGUCGCAAGACCAAAGAGGGGGACCUUCGGGCCUCUUGCCAUCAGAUGUGCCCAGAUGGGAUUAGCUUGUUGGUGAGGUAACGGCUCACCAAGGCGACGAUCCCUAGCUGGUCUGAGAGGAUGACCAGCCACACUGGAACUGAGACACGGUCCAGACUCCUACGGGAGGCAGCAGUGGGGAAUAUUGCACAAUGGGCGCAAGCCUGAUGCAGCCAUGCCGCGUGUAUGAAGAAGGCCUUCGGGUUGUAAAGUACUUUCAGCGGGGAGGAAGGUGUUGUGGUUAAUAACCGCAGCAAUUGACGUUACCCGCAGAAGAAGCACCGGCUAACUCCGUGCCAGCAGCCGCGGUAAUACGGAGGGUGCAAGCGUUAAUCGGAAUUACUGGGCGUAAAGCGCACGCAGGCGGUCUGUCAAGUCGGAUGUGAAAUCCCCGGGCUCAACCUGGGAACUGCAUUCGAAACUGGCAGG
rnacentral:rRNA from 1 species